UAAGGUCAUCGCCAUGAAGGAAGCUAACAACCUAUUGACAUUAUACAUUACUACUUUGCUUGGCAAGCUUGAAGAACAUGAGAGAGAGCUCAUUUGUUUAGAGAAGCAUGAGAAGAAUAUUAAAAUAGAAAAGAACAAGGACAAGGAGGUUGAAAAGAAGUCAAUUGCUCUUGUGGCUUCUAGUCCUAAGUCCUUAACAAAAGAGCAUGAUGAAAGUGGAACUAGUGAUGAUGAGUGUUCGAAUG
rnacentral:lncRNA from 1 species